rnacentral:antisense_RNA from 1 species
CUUCACCGAACCCAGCCAGAGCGGCUCUUCGCGAUCCUGCCCGUACGUGGCGAGCAGGGCUUGCGCCUC